CAUCAUCGCGGCGGGCGGUGCCGGCAUGCAGCACGCUUCCGCCGUGCUCGGAGCCCGGCUCGGCACCGUGGAUGACGUC
rnacentral:tRNA from 1 species